rnacentral:rRNA from 1 species
GAUGAACGCUGGCGGCGUGCCUAAUACAUGCAAGUCGAGCGAACAGACGAGGAGCUUGCUCCUCUGACGUUAGUGGCGGACGGGUGAGUAACACGUGGAUAACCUACCUAUAAGACUGGGAUAACUUCGGGAAACCGGAGCUAAUACCGGAUAAUAUAUUGAACCGCAUGGUUCAAUAGUGAAAGACGGUUUUGCUGUCACUUAUAGAUGGAUCCGCGCCGCAUUAGCUAGUUGGUAAGGUAACGGCUUACCAAGGCGACGAUGCGUAGCCGACCUGAGAGGGUGAUCCGCCACACUGGAACUGAGACACGGUCCAGACUCCUACGGGAGGCAGCAGUAGGGAAUCUUCCGCAAUGGGCGAAAGCCUGACGGAGCAACGCCGCGUGAGUGAUGAAGGUCUUCGGAUCGUAAAACUCUGUUAUUAGGGAAGAACAAAUGUGUAAGUAACUAUGCACGUCUUGACGGUACCUAAUCAGAAAGCCACGGCUAACUACGUG